AUGUCGAGCCAACUAGAGGUGUUCACCGGCGGCGUUCUCCGCAUCACCGUGCACCAUGUGUACUACCUGAUCACUGAGGAGACACUACAGCAGGUGUUUGUUGCGUAUGGUGUGGUGAAGGUCUCCGUGUUCCAGAAAAUCCACCAUGUGGAGGCAGUGGUUCAGCUUCGAUCAAGAAUCGGGGCGGCGCGGGCUCUUGCCUUGCAUGGCCGGUGUGUCUACGAGCAUGCCUGCCUCCUCGACAUCCAGGACGUGUCACCGGAGUAUAACCUGCACUUGUGCUCGCUGCUGGAGCUCAAGCAGACCGCAACCGUGGCCGAGUACACGACGACAUUCUGGGAACGAGUACAUCGUGUGCUGGAUCUCAACUCCACCAUAAGCAUCAAGUGCUUUGUCCACCAGUACGUCGAGGGCUUGCGCAUGGAUAUUCAAGCAUCCGUGCAGUCGCAAUCGCCGUCCAGCAUCACCAGAGCGUCAUCCCUUGCUCGGAUAAAGGAGGAGGAAAUUUUGAAGGAUGCGGCUAGGGCUGUUGAGGAGCUUGACGACUGCGUCAGCCAUGGAGUUCAGGGCGUCACGCCUAAGGAGGCCCUCACCGAUGUCUCCCCCGAGCUCGCUUCCCCUAUGGUGUGUGGUGCAGACCAUGGAGUCAUCGCCAUCGACACCAACAACCUUGCUGCUCUGACGCUAACCACAUGCUCGACGGAGUGCCCGAGUCGCGACGCCACCGUCAACAUCUUCCCCGAGCUUGCUGCCUCUGAUGUGUGCGACGAGGCCAUCGACACCGACGCCGACACCGUCAGUGUCAUGGCACCAACGCCCGCCACCUGUUCGUCGGGUCUGAUUCAUGGCGUCAACAAUCCCAUGGCGGUGCAGAUGCUCAGGCCAUCGCCAUGGCCUUCGUUUGUCACUGACCACACAAGUACAACUUGCAGCAACAUUGUCGAGCCACCACUGAGCAUCGCCACUGUGUCGUGCCGGGAAAUGUUUCCAAACCGUGGGGAAAUCGCUCUUGAUACAAUCGAAUCAAAGGUGUUGUGA
rnacentral:rRNA from 1 species